UACGUAGGUGGCAAGCGUUGUCCGGAUUUACUGGGCGUAAAGAGCGCGCAGGCGGUCGUUCAAGUCGCGUGUGAAAGCCCCCGGCUCAACUGGGGAGGGUCACGCGAUACUAAUCGACUCGAAGGCAGGAGAGGGAAGUGGAAUUCCCGGUGUAGUGGUGAAAUGCGUAGAGAUCGGGAGGAACACCAGCGGCGAAGGCGGCGAACUGGAUAGGUACUGACACUCAACAACGAAAAGCGUGGGGAGCAAACAGGG
rnacentral:rRNA from 1 species